UAAUACGAAGGAUCCAAGCGUUAUCCGGAUUUAUUGGGUUUAAAGGGUGCGUAGGUGGACUAUUAAGUCAGUGGUGAAAGCUUCCCGCUCAACGGGAAAAUUGCCAUUGAUACUGAUGGUCUUGAGUGCAUUUGAAGUGGGCGGAAUGUGUCGUGUAGUGGUGAAAUACUUAGAUAUGACACAGAACACCGAUUGCGAAGGCAGCUCACUAAACUGUAACUGACACUGAGGCACGAAAGCGUGGGGAUCAAACAGGAUUAGAUACCCUGGUAGUCCACGCCCUAAACGAUGAUUACUCGAUGUGUGCGAUACACUGUACGCGUCUGAGCGAAAGCAUUAAGUAAUCCACCUGGGGAGUACGGCCGCAAGGCUG
rnacentral:rRNA from 1 species